rnacentral:rRNA from 1 species
AUGGUGUACAGCCCUGUCGACGAUGCCCUCAAAGACUCCUUCCUAGCAGAACUGGUUCAUGCGGCUCCACCGUCGGGACAACCAUGGCUGAUCAAUGGAGAUUUUAACAUCACCUACGAAGCCCGAGACAAGAGCAACCUCAAUCUAAACAGAAGGAUCAUGGGGCGGUUCAGGAGAGCGAUAUACUCAACGGGUCUGAAGGAGAUCAAAUGCAAGAACAGGUGGUUCACCUGGACAAACGAGAGGGAAAAUCCGACGAUGCUGAGCAUCGACAAGGUCUUCUGCAACACGGAAUGGGACGACCUCUUCCCUUACACAUGCUCAUGGCCGCGUUGA